rnacentral:lncRNA from 1 species
AGGGAUUGCAAUAUAUAUUUAUGUCGCUGCAUAUAAUUUAUCUUGAUGCACUCGUAAUCUGUUUUUGUAUCUGACUCUCUUAUGCUAUAUUUUAGUAUCGAUGAUGUUUCAAUACAGCUUAAUGUAAUUCAGAGGACCACAUAUCUUAAUACAUCAUAAAAAAGUUCAGCACAUAACCUAAUGUGAUUGAAAAAAUCUCUUCUCUGAACAAUUAAAAUAUCAU